UACUGUAUAUAAUAAUAUUAAUAAUAUUAACAAUGAUAUUAGGCUUAUAUAAGGCCUAGCUAGUUUCAUUUAUCAUCAUGAAUUUGUAAUUGUAAAAGAGAGAGAGAUGACUAAACACAAUAUGUUUUAUGUAAUAAUAAUAAUGAUAAUUAUUGGAACAAUUAUUUGUCCUGUUAUCGCUGAAUUUGAUAGCUUUAUUCGUCGUCGUCAUGGAGAACCAUGGUUUCCAAGAACUAUUGUUGAUGCCUUAAAUCUAGAAGCAUGUUACAACGAAUGCAACCGAAGCCAUGACAAAUUGGCGUCACCAGAAUCAGCAGGUAGAUGGGAAAGUUGCACAAUGUCGUGCAAAGAGCUAAACGAUUUUAUAGAACGGUGCAAAGAACUCUCUGGUGGGAAUGAAGAUAAAUUUAACGGAUGCAUAGAUGAAUGGUAUGAAACAAACCCAUAUUGAAGUUUCGGUGAGUUAUUUGAUAAUAAAGUUUAGGUCCUAUAUACAAAUGCUACGCCAAUAUUAAAAAAAAUAAACUAUUAAAUUAAUUAUUAUAUAUUUACAUAUAAAUAUAUGUCAAAAAAUAAUUUAAAAAUAAAAAAAUAGUGUUAUGCACACAUAUUGUAUUAUAAUGUGUUAUGCAAAAUUAUGGGUGUGUAAAUUUAUAGUUGUGGAAAACGCAACCUGCGUUUUAUUAGAAAAAAAAUAAAAAACCAAAACGCGUUUAUGAAACAUAAGAAAAAAAGAAAAAAGAUCCCCUGCAAAGAGUUGACUAAGGCGGCAAAAAAAGAAAAAAAUUUCCAACAAAGAGUUGGCUAAGGCAUACUAGUAUUAUUAUUAUUGUUAUUAGCACUACAACAAGUUACUAUUAUUAUUAUUAAGUUUAAUUAUUUUGUUGGUCUCUAUAAUUUUACCAAAUUUUUAAUUAGGUCUUUAUACUUUUUUUUUCAAUUAAAUCUCUAUAUUACUUUAAUUUUGUAAUAAGUUCUUUCUAGUGUAAAAAAUAUUAGAGUUAACUGAAUAUUUUUUCGCAAAUUAAAGGUAUUUAUAAUUAAAAACUUAAUUAAAUUUUUUACUGCA
rnacentral:lncRNA from 1 species